GGGGUGACAACACAUCAAGAGUCCAUGAUCUCUAGGACUCUUCAUCCCACCUCCUUACAUAUUGAAGUAAAAGGAGUUUUAUUUUAUUCUUGUGUGUGUAAGAGACCUGAGAGAGAGGCCUUCACGUUGAAAGGAGUUGGGCAUGGGUUCAUGGUGUGAAAAAGAAGAGGAGAAUCCUUCUUCUUAUGGUGUGCGCAAAAUCUAUUUUCUAGAGUUUUAUACCUUA
rnacentral:lncRNA from 1 species